rnacentral:rRNA from 1 species
GUGGGGAAUCUUAGACAAUGGGGGAAACCCUGAUCUAGCCAUGCCGCGUGAGCGAUGAAGGCCUUAGGGUUGUAAAGCUCUUUCAGCUGGGAAGAUAAUGACGGUACCAGCAGAAGAAGCCCCGGCUAACUCCGUGCCAGCAGCCGCGGUAAUACGGAGGGGGCUAGCGUUGUUCGGAAUUACUGGGCGUAAAGCGCGCGUAGGCGGACCAGAAAGUUGGAGGUGAAAUCCCAGGGCUCAACCUUGGAACUGCCUUCAAAACUCCUGGUCUGGAGUUCGAGAGUGGUGAGUGGAAUUCCGAGUGUAGAGGUGAAAUUCGUAGAUAUUCGGAGGAACACCAGUGGCGAAGGCGGCUCACUGGCUCGAUACUGACGCUGAGGUGCGAAAGCGUGGGGAGCAAACAGGAUUAGAAACCCCAGUAGUCC